ACGCACGCUGGCGGCCUGCCUCACCCCUGCAAGUCGCACGAGACCUUCGGGUCUAGUGGCGCACGGGUGCGUAACGCGUGGGAACCUGCCCUUAGGUUCGGAAUAACUCCCCGUAAGGGGUGCUAAUACCGGAUAAUGUCUUCGGACCAAAGAUUUAUCGCCUUUGGAUGGGCCCGCGUUGGAUUAGCUAGUUGGUAGGGUAAAAGCCUACCAAGGCGACGAUCCAUAGCUGGUCUGAGAGGAUGAUCAGCCACACUGGGACUGAGACACGGCCCAGACUCCUACGGGAGGCAGCAGUGGGGAAUAUUGGACAAUGGGCGAAAGCCUGAUCCAGCAAUGCCGCGUGAGUGAUGAAGGCCUUAGGGUUGUAAAGCUCUUUUACCCGGGAUGAUAAUGACAGUACCGGGAGAAUAAGCUCCGGCUAACUCCGUG
rnacentral:rRNA from 1 species